rnacentral:ncRNA from 1 species
CAAAGAACGUUGAAGAAGGAUUAGUAUGCAUCUACUUUAUGUGACAGAGAGCGGUGUCUAUAAGCUGGAAGGCCCGCCACGUUAAAGCUGCAGAACCUGCCUUCUGAGUCCUAUGUCAAACAUAGGCGCAAUCUUGCGUUAUCAGUCAAAGUGGGAUGUUGUAUACAUCCAAUCAAGGUGGUACCACGGAAGUUAAAGUGCUUUUCGUCCUUAUU